AAGUCAUGAUGAUUCACGCCGGAUAUAAAGAAAAUGAAUUUAUUUUAAUUCCAACAAAAAUGUUUUAAAAAAAAAAACAUUUGUAAAUUUAGUUAUUAAAUUUAUAUGCAUUUCAUAUUUAUUUAUAUUAAGCAUUUAGCAUCUACACGAGAUAUUUAUUUAAGCAAACAUUGAACGAUUAUAGUACAACCCGGAAGAUAUUUUUUAUUUUUUUAUUUUAUAUACUCCCACUACACCCACAACAUACCUAAUUGAUCCAACUCAAUCACAAGUGGCUCCACGGAUCAAUUAAUCACAAGUGGCUCCACACCAAGCCUCUUAAACAAAGAUUCCACCUCAGAAGAGUACCUUUACACCACAACAUUCAAUAAACACACUUGAAAGCAAAAAGAAAAAUUCCACUCGAAAUAAACAAAUGCAAGUCGAUCAUUAAAAAGCAGGAGUCGAUUUACUCCCUUCUCAUCCCCAUUCUCGGCCUCCCCUCUCUCUCUCUAUACUCUCUUUUCCUCCAUUGAUGUCCAUUGAAGAAAGCUUAGAGAAGCUUCAUCAAACACUACUAUGAGAUAAUCCACCAUCCAAUCCAAUCAAAUACUAUCAUAUCUCAUCAAAUUCAAGAAGCUAGAGCUAAGAUCAAAGUUGGAGCAAAGUCUUGAUCACCUUUUAAAUCCUUGAGCUUUGUGACCAGGGGAAUUAGCGCUGCUUUCCCAAGACAGGUUUAUAUGUGAUUAUGAUCUUCAGGCUUUGCCUAACCAGGUUGGCUGGCUGGUGCUGACGGGACGGAGCUGAGGCUAGAGUUAAAAUUUCUAUGUUAGACUUCCGCUGUAGCAAUUACUCAUAUCAGUCUUUUGUUUUUACAACUUAAGAUCUUCAUGUUAAAUUUCAAAUGAUAUACAUGACCGAGCUUAGACUCUUCACUACUAAAUUUAUGCUAAUGAAUGUCGGUUGUCAGAAGCAUGAAACAAAACUUGUGAUCCAAAGGGGCAUAGCCCGAAUUUCAAAUCCUAUUUCGGUUUUAACAAGGUUGUUCCUUGUUUAUUUCUAUGAAUUAUUCACACCUCGAUCAUAUUUAUUCCUUCAAGAAUUGGGGUGUGACAGAAUGGUAUCAGAGCAUGAGUUUUCUUUCAUGUUUCUGAUAACCAUAAGCUUUUGAUGUCGAGUCUAGAAUAGUAUCUCUAGACUUCUAAGAAUGUCAGUAGCCCUCAGCUCGCCGUCACACUGCCGCAACUAAGGUACGAUAAUAGUUUAAAAAAAAAAUAUAUGUAUAUGUAUUUCAGAUGUUAUGAAUGUUUCCAAAAAAAAAAAAAAAAAAUGUGCGCUUCAAUGAAUGAUGCUAUGUGAAUUACUUAUCGCUUUCCAUAUGUUAUAAGUUAUGAAUUGCUAAUCGCUUUCAUAUUGUUAUCUUGGGUCUCCGACUCAUAUAACCAAGCUCAGUAUCGUGUUUGGGACAACCCGAGCCCUUAACGAUAAGAUAAGUAAGUAUCGUGUUUGGGACAACCCGAGCCCUUAACGAUAAGAUAAGUAAGUAUCGUGUUUGGGACUACCCGAGCCCUUAACGAUAAGAUGAGUUAAAGUCGUGUUUAGGACUAUUGAGCCUUUCACGAAUACCAGAUGUAUGGUCGAGUUAGAUUCUUUGAAUCUUUCCGGCAAUAGAAAAGUUUCAUGUGGCAUUUAAUGUCAACAUGUUUCAAGUUUCAAAGAGAAUGAACGAAUAAGAAAGCUUUAUGUUGUCGUUUUAGGCUAGCUGCCUAUACGAUUAGAAUGGUGGAUCCUCUUGCAAACUGUUUGAGUACCACCCAAGAAUGUUUUGAGAAUGUUAAUCGUGAUAGCACCGCUUGAUCGAUUUAAGUAAAGACUGGUAAGAUAGAAAUGUUUAACAUAGAGAUGUUACAACAUAGAGGCACUGCCUUAAGACUAAGGAUUCACUUGAGCUAUUUCAAUAGCGGUGAGAUUAAGUUUUUCACAUAAGAACUUAUGUUGCUUAUGAUUAUGAUGUCAGUCGUGAUAGCUUUGCUAGAACGGCAUAGAAUGGACUUUCAUGGUAUCAAUGACUUAUGAUGAAGUACUUACUAGUAAGUUUUAAAUUAGAAGUUUGACCAGAGACUUACAUGAAUAAGAAGUUGACAUGAUUGGGGGCGAAGCUCCCAUUUGACUGAGUGAUUUGUUUUGUUGGGUCUGGCCAGCCCACAUGACUAAGAUCUCGGUGAUUGUCAAUUAAGAUUUUUGAUCUCGAGGUAGAGCAUCAUCACAAUAUAUAGAGACUCGUACUAUAUAGUUGUCCCAAUAAGAUUUUCUUUGAUCACGAUAAGCAUAAUAUGAUUAGAAUGAGUUCGUUUGUCACCAGUUCUCGAGACUAUAGACAUGGUGUUCUCACAAUUAGAAAGAUGCGAUAACAAUCAAGCUAUGUAGCCGCAAUGAUAGUGAAGUCUAGUAUCCCAAACUAGAUUAUCCAGAUAUGCAAUUUCGAGGACGAAAUUUUUAUAAGGAGGGAGGGAUGUAACACCCCGCUUUUUCCUAGCUAAAUUUAGAGUAAUUUUGAACUUAGAAGUCAUGAUGAUUCACGCCGGAUAUAAAGAAAAUGAAUUUAUUUUAAUUCCAACAAAAAUGUUUAAAAAAAAAAAACAUUUGUAAAUUUAGUUAUUAAAUUUAUAUGCAUUUCAUAUUUAUUUAUAUUAAGCAUUUAGCAUCUACACGAGAUAUUUAUUUAAGCAAACAUUGAACGAUUAUAGUACAACCCGGAAGAUAUUUUUUUAUUUUUUUAUUUUAUAUACUCCCACUACACCCACAACAUACCUAAUUGAUCCAACUCAAUCACAAGUGGCUCCACGGAUCAAUUAAUCACAAGUGGCUCCACACCAAGCCUCUUAAACAAAGAUUCCACCUCAGAAGAGUACCUUUACACCACAACAUUCAAUAAACACACUUGAAAGCAAAAAGAAAAAUUCCACUCGAAAUAAACAAAUGCAAGUCGAUCAUUAAAAAGCAGGAGUCGAUUUACUCCCUUCUCAUCCCCAUUCUCGGCCUCCCCUCUCUCUCUCUAUACUCUCUUUUCCUCCAUUGAUGUCCAUUGAAGAAAGCUUAGAGAAGCUUCAUCAAACACUACUAUGAGAUAAUCCACCAUCCAAUCCAAUCAAAUACUAUCAUAUCUCAUCAAAUUCAAGAAGCUAGAGCUAAGAUCAAAGUUGGAGCAAAGUCUUGAUCACCUUUUAAAUCCUUGAGCUUUGUGACCAGGGGAAUUAGCGCUGCUUUCCCAAGACAGGUUUAUAUGUGAUUAUGAUCUUCAGGCUUUGCCUAACCAGGCUCGCAAUUCAUGGAUCGAUCGAGGUUCUCUUAUGGCCUAACACGCUAUUUGAGAAUUGUGUACACUUGUUAGUUGUUUCGGUGGGUUGAUCUCCAUCGGGCACUAAUUCAUGUAAGAGGCGUUAUAAGGGUGCUUGGCUGGAUGUGUUCCGGAGCAUGUAUCAUGUAAGGCCUGCCUGGGUAGCGUCCCGAGGUCAAUUCAACUUGUCUGAGUUACGUCCUCAGGGCAAGUGCAAUGGGAGAAAUGGAUCCGUCGGUGGCUAGAGGUCCGGGAUCACAGCGAGUAACAGAAAGGGAGUGUGACAUGUGCGCACAAAUGAAAGAAAAUGUUUUAACAUGCUUAGAAGUACUUCUUUCAAUUUAAAACCUUCUAAGUCAUGUCAAGUAUGAUUGGAUAAACUGCUCUUUACGAAAAUAUGAAAUGUUUCAGAAAAUGCAUGCCCACUAAGUACAUUAGUACUUAGCCCAAAAUUACUUUCAAAUGUUUUCAGGUUGGCUGGCUGGUGCUGACGGGACGGAGCUGAGGCUAGAGUUAAAAUUUCUAUGUUAGACUUCCGCUGUAGCAAUUACUCAUAUCAGUCUUUUGUUUUUACAACUUAAGAUCUUCAUGUUAAAUUUCAAAUGAUAUACAUGACCGAGCUUAGACUCUUCACUACUAAAUUUAUGCUAAUGAAUGUCGGUUGUCAGAAGCAUGAAACAAAACUUGUGAUCCAAAGGGGCAUAGCCCGAAUUUCAAAUCCUAUUUCGGUUUUAACAAGGUUGUUCCUUGUUUAUUUCUAUGAAUUAUUCACACCUCGAUCAUAUUUAUUCCUUCAAGAAUUGGGGUGUGACAGAAUGGUAUCAGAGCAUGAGUUUUCUUUCAUGUUUCUGAUAACCAUAAGCUUUUGAUGUCGAGUCUAGAAUAGUAUCUCUAGACUUCUAAGAAUGUCAGUAGCCCUCAGCUCGCCGUCACACUGCCGCAACUAAGGUACGAUAAUAGUUUAAAAAAAAAAUAUAUGUAUAUGUAUUUCAGAUGUUAUGAAUGUUUCCAAAAAAAAAAAAAAAAAUGUGCGCUUCAAUGAAUGAUGCUAUGUGAAUUACUUAUCGCUUUCCAUAUGUUAUAAGUUAUGAAUUGCUAAUCGCUUUCAUAUUGUUAUCUUGGGUCUCCGACUCAUAUAACCAAGCUCAGUAUCGUGUUUGGGACGACCCGAGCCCUUAACGAUAAGAUAAGUAAGUAUCGUGUUUGGGACAACCCGAGCCCUUAACGAUAAGAUAAGUAAGUAUCGUGUUUGGGACUACCCGAGCCCUUAACGAUAAGAUGAGUUAAAGUCGUGUUUAGGACUAUUGAGCCUUUCACGAAUACCAGAUGUAUGGUCGAGUUAGAUUCUUUGAAUCUUUCCGGCAAUAGAAAAGUUUCAUGUGGCAUUUAAUGUCAACAUGUUUCAAGUUUCAAAGAGAAUGAACGAAUAAGAAAGCUUUAUGUUGUCGUUUUAGGCUAGCUGCCUAUACGAUUAGAAUGGUGGAUCCUCUUGCAAACUGUUUGAGUACCACCCAAGAAUGUUUUGAGAAUGUUAAUCGUGAUAGCACCGCUUGAUCGAUUUAAGUAAAGACUGGUAAGAUAGAAAUGUUUAACAUAGAGAUGUUACAACAUAGAGGCACUGCCUUAAGACUAAGGAUUCACUUGAGCUAUUUCAAUAGCGGUGAGAUUAAGUUUUUCACAUAAGAACUUAUGUUGCUUAUGAUUAUGAUGUCAGUCGUGAUAGCUUUGCUAGAACGGCAUAGAAUGGACUUUCAUGGUAUCAAUGACUUAUGAUGAAGUACUUACUAGUAAGUUUUAAAUUAGAAGUUUGACCAGAGACUUACAUGAAUAAGAAGUUGACAUGAUUGGGGGCGAAGCUCCCAUUUGACUGAGUGAUUUGUUUUGUUGGGUCUGGCCAGCCCACAUGACUAAGAUCUCGGUGAUUGUCAAUUAAGAUUUUUGAUCUCGAGGUAGAGCAUCAUCACAAUAUAUAGAGACUCGUACUAUAUAGUUGUCCCAAUAAGAUUUUCUUUGAUCACGAUAAGCAUAAUAUGAUUAGAAUGAGUUCGUUUGUCACCAGUUCUCGAGACUAUAGACAUGGUGUUCUCACAAUUAGAAAGAUGCGAUAACAAUCAAGCUAUGUAGCCGCAAUGAUAGUGAAGUCUAGUAUCCCAAACUAGAUUAUCCAGAUAUGCAAUUUCGAGGACGAAAUUUUUAUAAGGAGGGAGGGAUGUAACACCCCGCUUUUUCCUAGCUAAAUUUAGAGUAAUUUUGAACUUAGAAGUCAUGAUGAUUCACGCCGGAUAUAAAGAAAAUGAAUUUAUUUUAAUUCCAACAAAAAUGUUUAAAAAAAAAAAACAUUUGUAAAUUUAGUUAUUAAAUUUAUAUGCAUUUCAUAUUUAUUUAUAUUAAGCAUUUAGCAUCUACACGAGAUAUUUAUUUAAGCAAACAUUGAACGAUUAUAGUACAACCCGGAAGAUAUUUUUUUAUUUUUUUAUUUUAUAUACUCCCACUACACCCACAACAUACCUAAUUGAUCCAACUCAAUCACAAGUGGCUCCACGGAUCAAUUAAUCACAAGUGGCUCCACACCAAGCCUCUUAAACAAAGAUUCCACCUCAGAAGAGUACCUUUACACCACAACAUUCAAUAAACACACUUGAAAGCAAAAAGAAAAAUUCCACUCGAAAUAAACAAAUGCAAGUCGAUCAUUAAAAAGCAGGAGUCGAUUUACUCCCUUCUCAUCCCCAUUCUCGGCCUCCCCUCUCUCUCUCUAUACUCUCUUUUCCUCCAUUGAUGUCCAUUGAAGAAAGCUUAGAGAAGCUUCAUCAAACACUACUAUGAGAUAAUCCACCAUCCAAUCCAAUCAAAUACUAUCAUAUCUCAUCAAAUUCAAGAAGCUAGAGCUAAGAUCAAAGUUGGAGCAAAGUCUUGAUCACCUUUUAAAUCCUUGAGCUUUGUGACCAGGGGAAUUAGCGCUGCUUUCCCAAGACAGGUUUAUAUGUGAUUAUGAUCUUCAGGCUUUGCCUAACCAGGUUGGCUGGCUGGUGCUGACGGGACGGAGCUGAGGCUAGAGUUAAAAUUUCUAUGUUAGACUUCCGCUGUAGCAAUUACUCAUAUCAGUCUUUUGUUUUUACAACUUAAGAUCUUCAUGUUAAAUUUCAAAUGAUAUACAUGACCGAGCUUAGACUCUUCACUACUAAAUUUAUGCUAAUGAAUGUCGGUUGUCAGAAGCAUGAAACAAAACUUGUGAUCCAAAGGGGCAUAGCCCGAAUUUCAAAUCCUAUUUCGGUUUUAACAAGGUUGUUCCUUGUUUAUUUC